AUUGAACGCUGGCGGCAUGCUUUACACAUGCAAGUCGAACGGCAACAGGCCGCAAGGUUCUGACGAGUGGCGAACGGGUGAGUAAUGCAUCGGAACGUGCCCAGUCGUGGGGGAUAACUACUCGUAAGAGUAGCUAAUACCGCAUCCGAUCUAUGGAUGAAAUCGGGGGACCGUAAUGCCUCGCGCGAUUGGAGCGGCCGAUGUCAGAUUAGGUGGUUGGUGGGGUAAAGGCUCACCAAGCCAACGAUCUGUAGCUGGUGUGAGAGGACGACCAGCCACACUGGGACUGAGACACGGACAAGACUCCUACGGGAGGCAGCAGUGGGGAAUGUUGGACAAUGGGCGCAAGCAUGAUCCAGCAAUGCCGCGUGCAGGAAGAAGGCCUUCGGGUUGUAAACUGCUUUUGUACGGAACGAAACGGCUCUGGUUAAUACCCGGGGAUAAUGACGGUACCGGAAGAAUAAGCACCGGCUAACUACGUG
rnacentral:rRNA from 1 species